rnacentral:rRNA from 1 species
AUUGAACGCUGGCGGCAGGCCUAACACAUGCAAGUCGAGCGGCAGCGGGACCUUCGGGUCGCCGGCGAGCGGCGGACGGGUGAGUAAUGCCUAGGAAUCUGCCUGUUAGUGGGGGAUAACGCGGGGAAACUCGCGCUAAUACCGCAUACGUCCUCCGGGAGAAAGCGGGGGCUCUUCGGACCUCGCGCUAACAGAUGAGCAUAGGUCGGAGUAGCUAGUUGGUGGGGUAAUGGCCCACCAAGGCGAGGAUCCGUAACUGGUCUGAGAGGAUGAUCAGUCACACUGGAACUGAGACACGGUCCAGACUCCUACGGGAGGCAGCAGUGGGGAAUAUUGGACAAUGGGCGAAAGCCUGAUCCAGCCAUGCCGCGUGUGUGAAGAAGGUCUUCGGAUUGUAAAGCACUUUAAGUUGGGAGGAAGGGCUGUAGGCUAAUAUCCUGCAGUUUUGACGUUACCGACAGAAUAAGCACCGGCUAACUUCGUGCCAGCCGCCGCAGUAA